CGGAGGGUGCGAGCGUUGUUCGGAAUCACUGGGCGUAAAGCGCGUGUAGGCGGCUCCUUAAGUCUGAUGUGAAAGCCCCGGGCUCAACCUGGGAAGUGCAUUGGAAACUGGGGGAACUUGAAUACGGGAGAGGGUAGUGGAAUUCCUGGUGUAGGAGUGAAAUCCGUAGAUAUCAGGAGGAACACCGGUGGCGAAGGCGGCUACCUGGACCGAUAUUGACGCUGAGACGCGAAAGCGUGGGGAGCAAACAGGAUUAGAUACCCUGGUAGUCCACGCCGUAAACGAUGAGUACUAGGUGUUGCGGGUAUUGACCCCUGCAGUGCCGCAGCUAACGCAUUAAGUACUCCGCCUGGGAAGUACGGUCGCAAGACUA
rnacentral:rRNA from 1 species